rnacentral:rRNA from 1 species
AUUGAACGCUGGCGGCAGGCCUAACACAUGCAAGUCGAACGAGUGGCGGACGGGUGAGUAAUGUCUGGGAAACUGCCCGAUGGAGGGGGAUAACUACUGGAAACGGUAGCUAAUACCGCAUACCAUCGGAUGUGCCCAGAUUGGAUUAGCUAGUGGGGGGGGUAACGGCUCACCUAGGCGACGAUCCCUAGCUGGUCUGAGAGGAUGACCAGCCACACGGGAACUGAGACACGGUCCAGACUCCUACGGGAGGCAUCAGUGGGGAAUAUUGCACAAUGGGCGCAUGCCUGAUGCAGCCAUGCCGCGUGUAUGAAGAAGGCCUUCGUGUUGUAAAGGACUUUCGGCGGGGAGGCGUUACUCGCAGAAGAAGCACCGGCUAACUCCGUGCCAGCAGCCGCGGUAAUUC